UGGGGAAUCUUGGACAAUGGGCGCAAGCCUGAUCCAGCCAUGCCGCGUGAGUGAAGAAGGCCUUCGGGUUGUAAAGCUCUUUUACCAGGGACGAUAAUGACGGUACCUGGAGAAUAAGCCCCGGCAAACUUCGUGCCAGCAGCCGCGGUAAUACGAAGGGGGCUAGCGUUGUUCGGAAUUACUGGGCGUAAAGCGCACGUAGGCGGAUUGUUAAGUCAGAGGUGAAAUCCCGGAGCUCAACUUCGGAACUGCCUUUGAUACUGGACAAUCUAGAGUCCGGAAGAGGUUAGUGGAAUUCCCAGUGUAGAGGUGAAAUUCGUAGAUAUUGGGAAGAACACCAGUGGCGAAGGCGGCUAACUGGUCCGGUACUGACGCUGAGGUGCGAAAGCGUGGGGAGCAAACAGGAUUAGAUACCCCCGUAGUCCCUGAGCGGGCUGGCAAGGCGCAU
rnacentral:rRNA from 1 species